rnacentral:rRNA from 1 species
UUGAUCCUGGCUCAGAAUCAACGCUGGCGGCGUGCCUAACACAUGCAAGUCGAACGCGAAAGUCCCGCAAGGGAUGAGUAGAGUGGCAAACGGGUGAGUUACACGUGGGUGACCUGCCUUCGAGCGGGGGAUAACGUCCCGAAAGGGACUCUAAUACCGCAUGACAUCCUGCCUUUGAAGAGGUGGAGAUCAAAGCUGGUGAUCGCAAGACCUAGCACUCGAAGAGGGGCCCGCGCCUGAUUAGCUAGUUGGUGGGGUAACGGCUCACCAAGGCAACGAUCAGUAGCCGGCCUGAGAGGUCGGACGGCCACACUGGGACUGAGACACGGCCCAGACUCCUACGGGAGGCUGCAGUGGGGAAUUGUUCGCAAUGGGCGCAAGCCUGACGACGCAACGCCGUGUGGAGGACGAAGACCUUCGGGUCGUAAACUCCUUUCGAUCGAGACGAAUGGUCUCCGGGUGAACAAUCCGGAGGAGUGACGGUACCGAGAGAAGAAGCUCCGGCUAACUCCGUGCCAGCAGCCGCGGUAAUAAGGU